CUGGGGAUUAGCCCCGGCCAGAUGUCCCAUCACAGAAGUUAGGAGUUGAAGUAGAUGACAUAUGUGUUUGGAGAAGUGAUAUGUCUCAUUCUUUUCAGCUCUAGCUUGUGGUAAGUUUCUGAAAGCAAGUAAGAGAAGAGGAAGGGGCAUUUGUGAUCUGUCAUGUAUAGAAGACUACCACAUAGGCAGGUGGUCACACCUGAAAGCAUGUCCCCUGAACCCCGUUACCUAAUGUCAUAAGCUGAAUGUCCAAAGCUCCUCUCCCAGCUCUGAUUGGCCUGGCUACUAUGAUGAGUGAAGUCCACCAGAGAAGACACUGUGGCCUCGUUUCUCAUCCUGCUGUCCCCAGGAGUAACACAGAAGCGACUAGUAACACAACAGCAUUGUCCUCACACACACAGGCCUGCUUUGUUUCCCCACCACACAGAGCAGUGGCUGUAACAAUGCCCUUGAAAGACACGUUACCCUCCUUUCUCCAACGUUGCACUUGUUUUUUAGUUCUGGAAUCAGCUAAACGAUGAUUUCCUGCAGGGGGUAUCAGUCUCUCAUAUUUUCUGCCUGCUUCUCUGACAGCCUUCAGGCCCCAGGUCAGUGAGUAGCAAGCCAGGCCUAGAGAGCUCUGGACCCACGGGAACAUCCCCUUCUUGGAAGGUGGGAAAGGCCAUGAUGUUUCACCUCUCUCCAGCAAGCUGGGACCUGCCCUGGAAGAAGAAACCAGACCAGGCUGGAGAGAGAUCCCUCACCCCUUCCACUGUGAGGACAUAGCAGGAAGGCAUCAUCUACAAGCCAGAAAGUGGGCCCUCAAUAGACACCGAAUCUGCCCGUGCAUUGAUCUAGGACUUCCCAGCCUCCAGAACGGUGUUGGCUACCUUUGUGGUUUUAAGAAAGCCUGAGGGCCUGAAGGCAGCCACGGGAGAAGCCCUUUCCGAGGGCAUUCGGAACCUUCCCAUCCUAGAGGUGAAGCUGAACUGUCACCAGGACUUAUGACCCGCGGCUUCGCUCCCAUUCUGCCCAUUGAGUUCCACAAGAUGGGCUCCUUCCGCAGGCCUAGACCGCGCUUCAUGAGCUCCCCCGUACUCAGUGACCUGCCCCGAUUCCAAGCAACUCGGCAGACUCUGCAGCUGAGCUCCAGCUCAGCCUGGAACAGCGUUCAGACUGCUGUGAUCAACGUUUUCAAAGGGGGUGGCUUGCAAAGCAACGAGCUCUAUGCCCUGAACGAAAACAUCAGGCGGCUGUUGAAGAGUGAACUUGGAUCAUUCAUUACAGACUAUUUUCAGAACCAGCUUCUUGCAAAAGGACUGUUCUUUGUGGAGGAGAAGAUCAAGCUGUGUGAAGGUGAAAAUCGCAUUGAGGUUCUGGCUGAAGUCUGGGACCACUUCUUCACUGAGACUCUCCCUACCCUGCAAGCAAUAUUUUAUCCAGUUCAGGGCCAGGAGCUGACUAUCCGCCAGAUCUCCCUGCUGGGCUUCCGAGACCUGGUCCUGCUGAAGGUGAAGCUGGGUGACUUGCUGCUGCUGGCCCAGUCCAAGCUGCCCUCGUCCAUUGUCCAGAUGUUGCUCAUCCUGCAGGCCUGGUGCCAGGUAGCCCUGCAACCAUGUGAGAAAGCUUCAGUCAUCAUACCCCUGAAUCCCCAAAGACAGAGUGUUCACGAGCCCACAGGCCCAAGUGAGAGUUAUUUGCAACUGGAGGAGCUGGUGAAGCAAGUGGUUUCUCCUUUCCUCGGCAUCAGUGAUGACCGUAGCUUCUCAGGCUCUGCGUACAUGCUGGCCAGGCGGCACUCCAGGGUCCGGCCCAAGGUGACUGUCCUGAACUAUGCCUCCCCGGUAACUGCAGUCAGCCGGCCACUGAAUGAGAUGGCCUUGACCCCACUGACAGAGCAGGAGGGGGAAGCCUACCUGGAGAAGUGUGGCAGCGUGCGGCGGCACACGGUGGCCAAUGCCCACUCAGACAUCCAGCUGCUGGCCAUGGCCACCAUGAUGCACUCAGGCCUGGGGGAGGAUGCCAGCAGUGAGGACAAAUGCCUGCUCCUGCCACCCAGCUUCCCCUCACCUCACCGGCAGUGCUCCAGUGAGCCCAGCAUUACCGACAGCCCUGACGGACUGGAGGAGGGGGCCGGGGGCAGCCAGGAGGGCUCAGAGCUGAACUGUGCUUCCCUCAGCUGA
rnacentral:lncRNA from 13 species